rnacentral:rRNA from 1 species
AUUGAACGCUGGCGGCAGGCCUAACACAUGCAAGUCGAACGAGUGGCGGACGGGUGAGUAAUGUCUGGGAAACUGCCUGAUGGAGGGGGAUAACUACUGGAAACGGUAGCUAAUACCGCAUACCAUCAGAUGUGCCCAGAUGGGAUUAGCUAGUGGGUGGGGUAAUGGCUCACCUGGGCGACGAUCCCUAGCUGGUCUGAGAGGAUGACCGGCCAAACUGGAACUGGGACACGGGCCAGAGUCCGACGGGAGGCAGCAGUGGGGAAUAUUGCACAAUGGGCGCAAGCCUGAGGCAGCCAUGCCGCGUGUGUGAAGAGGGCCUUCGGGUUGUAAAGCACUGUCAGCGGGGAGGCGUUACUCGCAGAAGAAGCACCGGCUAACUCCGUGCCAGCAGCCGCGGUAAUUC